GUCUUGCUCUGUCGCNNNNNNNNNNCAAUGAGAACACAUGGACACAGGAAGGGGAACAUCACACUCUGGGGACUGUUGUGGGGUUGGGGGAGGGGGGAGGGAUAGCAUUAGGAGAUAUACCUAAUGCUAAGUGACGAGUUAAUGGGUGACUAUAGUGAUGUAAAAACUUUUCAAAUUGUACUGCUUAUUGUAUGUCAAUUAUACCUCCAUAAAAGUAUAUAAAAUAAUACCUACAUUCGAGGGUCACUGAGAGGGUUAAACUUAGUCCCUGCCUAAGGCUUCCAGGGCAGUUUGAUGAACUACAGCCAAUGGCCUAAUCCAGCUAGAAAAAGUUUUACUGGACUUCAGUCACCCUUAUUUGCAGGCCCUUUACAGAAAACGUAGCUGACUUCUGUUUUAGGAGGCUAAGAAUAUUCUAUAUCUUGAAGUGGAGAUGGUAUAUAAAAAUUCAUAAAUGUAUCCAUUUAGGGUCUAUGCAUGUUAAGUUAUACUUCAAGUUCAAAACAGCGUAAAAUGCCAGGUAAGCCCUGCAUAAACGUCAGCUAUUAUUAAGUGCUCCACAAAUUUAUUGCAUGAUGAAAGCCUGAGUAUGCUUUUUAAAAAUGGCACAUUAAACAUGUGAAAGCUUUAAACUAUAAGCUCGUUAUGUGCUAUACCCUGUAAUGGUAAAAAUGGUUUGCAGAGAAAAACAAACUUGAUAAAAGUCCAACUAUACCCCGGAUUCAAAAUGCCAAGCACCCAAAUUCAAGAAACCUCAGGCAAGAAACUUUUUUGGCUUAACUAUGCCAACUGGUCUCAGGGAUCUUUAGGGAUCACUAAGUGCUCCUGGCUCUAACAUUGAUAUUUUAGGUUCCCGUAUUACAACUUGAACGUUAUACCGAUUUUCUAUAUAUUCUACAAUCACUGAAUCCAGACAGCAAUGGGAAUAAAAUGUAAAUAACCCAGCAUCAAAAGGCCAAGACCAUGUAUUUAGGGAAAUAGUUUAUUUUCUAAAAUAAUAGUAAAAUAUACUUUCUAUUUUAAUGAAUUUGUAAUCUCUUUUUAAGAAAUUCUUAACUAAUUCAUUAGUGCUUCAGAGAUGGUAAAGCAAGUUAAAAAACAAAAAUUUCCAAAACACAUGAAGUUUAAUUAUGGAGUGGGAAAAGAUAAGAUGAAUUUAAAAUAAUAA
rnacentral:lncRNA from 1 species